CGGAGCAAGGCACUUGGGCCCCUCUUGCUUACCUACGACCGCGUCUCCCCAGCCCUCUCCUUCUCCGCCCGCAAGAGGAGGGUACGCCGCCCCUGCGGAGGGGUAUGCCGCCUUCCCACGGGUGACCUCGCAUCUGCCCCUGAUACAUCUUAGGAAACAGGACGGGGAAGAAUGGGCGUUUUGUGGGCAAGGAUGAGUCAUUUCAUCGGAGGUGAGAGAAAUACACAGUUCCUCUAACAAGUGGUCUUAAAAGGACAGCCCAAGAGGUGCUGCACAGUGAUUUUUAGCUUCCUAGAAGAAGUAGAUGUGGGUAACAGUCCUCAGAAGUAUCCUUGACCUGCAGGAGCAUUGAGGAGGGAAACAGCAGGACUUUUGAAACAAGAGGCACCUGCCCCCAUGAAGGUUUUUUGGUUGUACCACUCCCAACAAUGGAGAUGGACACUGCUUCAGAGCAAUUAGUGGUAGAAGUGCUUAGGUAAG